AAGGCCUGAUGUGUGUGAGAUUACCCGCUGAAUUUAAGCAUAUAAGUAAGCGGAGGAAAAGAAACUAACUAGGAUUCCCUUAGUAAUGGCGAUGACAGGAUCAGCUCAGUGCCAAAUCGGAUCACUUGUGGAUUCUGAAAUGUGGCUUGAAGGCAGUACCAGUGGC
rnacentral:ncRNA from 1 species